rnacentral:lncRNA from 1 species
UUUCAUGCUUACCAGGCCUAUUCACCCUCCAUCCACAAUGAAGCUUAUUCAGAGUGAUUAUUUGGCCUGCAGUUACAUAUACUGUAAAAUCUGCAUUAUGAGUUAAAAACAACUUCUCAAGAGGCUGUGCAGGGACAGUUCUAAAUGCAGCCCCACUACUGUUCAGACCUCUGAUUCAAACAGGAGAUGUGCGUUGGAGGGAAGGCUAUAUGACCACUUAAAUCAUAUGUUCUGCUUGCAGGUGGCAGCUGAAAGGAAGGUAUGUGACAGUCCUCCUGUUUUGCACAACAGAAGCUCCUCCUGCAGCUGUGCCUAAAAUGGGUUUUUCACGCAUGGUUAUCUGUUUUCAAAACUACAAAGGAACCGGAAUCUAGCACUGUAGCCACUGGAGAAUUGU